GAUGAACGCUAGCUACAGGCUUAACACAUGCAAGUCGAGGGGCAGCACAAGGCAGCAAUGCUGAGGUGGCGACCGGCGCACGGGUGCGUAACGCGUAUCCAACCUUCCCGUUACUCUUGGAUAGCCUUCCGAAAGGGAGAUUAAUACAAGAUGGUGUUGAAAUUCCGCAUGUUAUUUCAACUAAAGAUUUAUCGGUAACGGAUGGGGAUGCGUGACAUUAGAUAGAUGGCGGGGUAACGGCCCACCAUGUCCACGAUGUCUAGGGGUUCUGAGAGGAAGGUCCCCCANACUGGAACUGAGACACGGUCCAGACUCCUACGGGAGGCAGCAGUGAGGAAUAUUGGUCAAUGGCCGGAAGGCUGAACCAGCCAAGUAGCGUGAAGGAUGAAGGUUC
rnacentral:rRNA from 1 species